rnacentral:rRNA from 1 species
GGAAACAGUGGCUAAGACUGGAUAGGAAGAUAAAAGGCAUCUUUUAUCUUUUAAAAGACCUAGUAAUAGGUAUGCUUUAGGAGGGGCUUGCGCCAUAUUAGUUAGUUGGUAGGGUAAUGGCCUACCAAGACGAUGAUGUGUAGCUGGACUGAGAGGUUGAACAGCCACAUUGGGACUGAGACACGGCCCAAACUCCUACGGGAGGCAGCAGUAGGGAAUUUUCGGCAAUGGAGGAAACUCUGACCGAGCAACGCCGCGUGAAUGACGAAGUACUUCGGUAUGUAAAGUUCUUUUAUCAAGGAAGAAAAGCAAAUGGCGAACCAUUUGUUUGCCGGUACUUGAUGAAUAAGCCCCGGCUAAUUAUGUGCCAGCAGCCGCGGUAAGACAUAAGGGGCAAGUGUUAUCCGGAAUUAUUGGGCGUAAAGGGUGCGUAGGCGGUCUAGUAAGUCAGUGGUGUAAUGGCAACGCUUAACGUUGUCCGGCUAUUGAAACUGCUAAACUUGAGUUAGAUAGAGGCGAGUGGAAUUCCAUGUGUAGCGGUAAAAUGCGUAAAUAUAUGGAGGAACACCAGAGGCGUAGGCGGCUCGCUGGGUCUUAACUGACGCUGAGGCACGAAAGCGUGGGGAGCAAACAGGAUUAGAUACCCUGGUAGUCCACGCCGUAAACGAUGAGUACUAAGUGUCGGGUUAAACCGGUACUGAAGUUAACACAUUAAGUACUCCGCCUGAGUAGUACGUACGCAAGUAUGAAACUUAAAGGAAUUGACGGGACUCCGCACAAGCGGUGGAUCAUGUUGUUUAAUUCGAAGAUACCCGAAAAACCUUACCAGGUCUUGACAUGUUUUUGCAAAAUGAUAGUAAUAUCGUGGAGGUUACCAGAAACACAGGUGGUGCAUGGUUGUCGUCAGCUCGUGUCGUGAGAUGUUAGGUUAAGUCCUAAAACGAGCGAAACCCUUAUCGUUAGUUGCCAGCACGUUAUGGUGGGGACUUUAACGAGACUGCCAAUGAUAAAUUGGAGGAAGGUGAGGAUCACGUCAAAUCAGCAUGCCCCUUAUGACCUGGGCUACAAACGUGAUACAAUGGCUGUUACAAAGGGUAGCUGAAACGCAAGUUCUUGGCCAAUCCCCAAAAACAGUCCCAGUCCGGAUUGAAGUCUGCAACUCGACUUCAUGAAGUUGGAAUCGCUAGUAAUCGCGAAUCAGCAUGUCGCGGUGAAUACGUUCUCGGGGUUUGUACACACCGCCCGUCAAACCACGAAAGUUGGCAAUACCCCAAACGGUAGCCUAACUCGUUUAUUCGAGAGGGCGCCGUCUAAGGUAGGGUCG